AGUGAACGCUGGCGGUAUGCCUAACACAUGCAAGUCGAACGGCAGCACCGUAAGUGCUUGCUCUUAUGGGUGGCGAGUGGCGGACGGGUGAGGAGUACAUCGUGAUCUACUUUUUGGUGGGGGAUAACGAAGGGAAACUUACGCUCAUACCGCAUAUGACCUACGGGUGAAAGCAGUGGAUAUUCGGAUCUUGCGCGGUUGAAUGAGCGGGUGUUGGGUUAGCUAGUUGGCGGGGUAAAGGCCCACCUAGGCGAGGAUCCGUAGCGGGUCUGAGAGGAGGGUCACCCACACGAGAACAGAAACACGGUCCAGACUCCUACGGGAGGGAGCAGAGAGGAAUAUUGGGCAAUGGGGGCGAGCCUGAUGCAGUCAUACCGCGUGGGUGAAGAAGACCUUCGGGUUGUGAAGACCUUCUGUGGGUAAAGAAACGCAGCAGGUUAAGACACCGCUGUUGUGACGGUACCCAAAGAAGAAGCACCGGCUAACUACGUG
rnacentral:rRNA from 1 species